AGCUAAUAGAUACCCUGGUAGUCCACGCCCUAAACGAUGUCUACUAGUUGUUGGUGGAGUAAAAUCCAUGAGUAAACGCAGCUAACGCGUGAAGUAGACCGCCUGGGGAGUACGGUCGCAAGAUUAAAACUCAAAGGAAUUAACGGGGGCCCGCACAAGCGGUGGAUUAUGUGGAUUAAAUUCGAUGCAACGCGAAAAACCUUACCUGGCCUUGACAUGCCACUAACGAAGCAGAGAUGCAUUAGGUGCCCGUAAGGGAAAGUGGACACAGGUGCUGCAUGGCUGUCGUCAGCUCGUGUCGUGAGAUGUUGGGUUAAGUCCCGCAACGAGCGCAACCCUUGCCAUUAAUUGCCAUCAUUUAGUUGGGCACUUUAAUGGGACUGCCGGUGACAAACCGGAGGAAGGUGGGGAUGACGUCAAGUCCUCAUGGCCCUUAUGGCCAGGGCUUCACACGUAAUACAAUGGUCGGUACAGAGAGUUGCCAACCCGCGAGGGGAGCUAAUCUCAGAAAGCCGAUCGUAGUCCGGAUUGUUCU
rnacentral:rRNA from 1 species